rnacentral:tRNA from 2 species
GAUAGCUCAGCGGUGGAGCACUCGACUGUUAAUCGAUAGGCCGUAGGUUCGAAUCCUACUC